rnacentral:lncRNA from 11 species
AGCAGGUUGAGCCUUUUAGGUUCGUACUUGCAGUAGAAUAAAACCUGAAUGCGAAGUAUCAUUGAUUGGAAACAGAAUGCUUUAAGCCUACUGAAUGACAGUUGGACCUUACUUCACUGGACAGCAAUACUUCAGCCCAUCUGCAGUUGCAUGAUAUACAAUCCCUAGACAAUGUGUCUUCCAAUAAAUUA